GAUGAACGCUGGCGGCGUGCCUAAUACAUGCGAGUCGAGCGAACGGACGAGAAGCUUGCUUCUCUGAUGUUAGCGGCGGACGGGUGAGUAACACGUGGAUAACCUACCUAUAAGACUGGGAUAACUUCGGGAAACCGGAGCUAAUACCGGAUAAUAUUUUGAACCGCAUGGUUCAAAAGUGAAAGACGGUCUUGCUGUCACUUAUAGAUGGAUCCGCGCUGCAUUAGCUAGUUGGUAAGGUAACGGCUUACCAAGGCAACGAUGCAUAGCCGACCUGAGAGGGGGAUCGGCCACACUAGAACUGGAACACGGUCCAGACUCCUACGGGAGGCAGCAGUAGGGAAUCUUCCGCAAUGGGCGAAAGCCUGACGGAGCAGCGCCGCGUGAGUGAUGAAGGUCUUCGGAUCGUAAAACUCUGUUAUUAGGGAAGAACAUAUGUGUAAGUAACUGUGCACAUCUUGACGGUACCUAAUCAGAAAGCCACGGCUAACUACGUG
rnacentral:rRNA from 1 species